rnacentral:rRNA from 1 species
GAUGAACGCUAGCUACAGGCUUAACACAUGCAAGUCGUGGGACCUGCGCACGGGUGAGUCACACGUAUCCAACUCGCCCUUUACUCGGGGAUAGCCUUUCGAACGAAAGAUUAAUACCCGACCUAAAGGAUGGGGAUGCGUUCCAUUAGGUUGUUGGUGAGGUAACGGCUCACCAUGCCUUCGAUGGACAGGGGUACUGAGAGGAAGGUCGCCCACAUUGGAACUGAGACACGGUCCAAACUCCUAGGAGCGGCAGAAGUGAGGAAUAUUGGUCAAUGUGCGCUAGCCUGAAACAGCCAGGUAGCGUGAAGGAUGAAGGGUUAUGGGUCGUAAAUUUCUUUUAUAUAAGAAGAUGUAUUAUAUGAAAAAGGAUCGGCUAACUCCGUGCCAGCAGCCGCGGUAAUAC